CCCAGACUCCUACGGGAGGCAGCAGUGGGGAAUAUUGCACAAUGGGGGAAACCCUGAUGCAGCGACGCCGCGUGAGUGAAGAAGUAAUUCGUUAUGUAAAGCUCUAUCAGCAGGGAAGAAAAUGACGGUACCUGAGGAAUAAGCCACGGCUAACUACGUGCCAGCAGCCGCGGUAAUACGUAGGGGGCAAGCGUUAUCCGGAUUCACUGGGUGUAAAGGGAGCGUAGACGGCGACGCAAGUCUGGAGUGAAAGCCCGGGGCCCAACCCCGGGACUGCUCUGGAAACUGCGUCGCUGGAAUACGGGAGGGGCAGGCGGAAUUCCUGGUGUAGCGGUGAAAUGCGUAGAUAUCAGGAGGAACACCGGCGGCGAAGGCGGCCUGCUGGACCGCGACUGACGUUGAGGCUCGAAAGCGUGGGGAGCAAACAGGAUUAGAUACCCCAGUA
rnacentral:rRNA from 1 species